rnacentral:misc_RNA from 1 species
AACAACAACAACAACAAAAAAACAAUACUUUCUCACGAUAUCAGUUUUUUGUUUAGUGGUUUGGUCACUUACAAGCAUAACAUAUCAUCAUGGCUGAAGACAAAUCUUCUAAAGAUGAUAAAAGUGAUGUACCUACUGCAGCACCGUCAUCAGAAACUCUGUCUGAGUCAGUUGCAUCCACGGCAAACAUCAUACCUGUAAUUAAAGUACCUUGGCAUAGAAACUUGAAGAAAUAUUUCACAAGUCUAUCCUUCCUUGUCUACAGUAGUCAUGCUCUUUCCUGCUGGGGAGACCGUAUGUGGUCGUUUUCGGUUGGACUCUUUCUGAUAGAGAUUGCUCCUGAAAAUCUAAGGCUCACUGCUACCUAUGGCCUGUUGUCAGGCAUCAUGAUCUUUUUCAUGGGUGCUAUCGUUGGCAAUUGGGUUGACAAAACUGAACGGUUGAAAACUGUUAAAAUAUCAUUAUUCAUCCAGAACUCAAGUGUAAUAGCAUGUGCAAUUGUUGUAGCAGUCUAUUUAACUUGGAAAACCCAAAUUGUUGACACUUGGAAUGGAUUUGGAGACAUUCUCUCCAAAAUUGCAAUAAUCGGUUUAGCUAUUAUUGCUAGACUUGCUUCCUUGGCAGGAAACAUUUCUGUACGCAAUGACUGGAUUGUUGAAAUAAGUGAAAGAGACCCAACUAAACUUGCUUACAUGACUGCUGCCCUACGCCGUAUUGACCUUGCAGUUAAACUCCUGUCACCUAUUCUUGCUGGUCAGUUAAUGACAUACAUUUCUAUUGUGGCUGGUUCCCUGUUUAUUGCUGUUUGGAAUUUUAUCUCAGUAUUUAUAGAGUAUUUUUUGCUAUACAAAGUCUUCCAAGCAGUUCCAACUCUGGCUACAAAGAAAAAAAGUGUAACUGCUGGAGAAGAACAACAAGAAUCAAAUGAUGUGGAGGGAACCUCAAAUUCUGUUGAAGAAUCCACUGAAAGCCCACAGUUAGAAGCCAUGAAAGUGAGCUCAGAUGAUACUCAACCAAAACCAGAUGAAAGCUCCCCAAAAGCUUGUAGCAGAUUAGCUAAACAUCCUCUGUGCAUGUCUUUUUUCUCUGGAAUAUUUACCCUUUACAAUGGCUGGAGCAUAUAUCUAAAAUAUGAUGUGGCCCCUGCUGGAUUUGGACUUGCUCUCGUAUAUAUGACAGCCCUUGGUUUUGACAAUAUCACUGUUGGUUUCGCCUAUUCACAAGGUAUAACGGAAUCAAUUCUUGGAAUUCUUAUGGCUUGUGGAGCUAUAAUUGGUAUCAUGUCAACAUUUGUUUACCCAAGAAUCAGAAACAAAAUUGGUUUGUCGAGAACUGGUCUCAUAAGUUUUUCACUGGAAAUUUUUUGCUUGACACUUUGUUUAAUGUCAAUUAUCGCUCCAGGAAACCCUUAUAAAUUUAUGACAUACCCUCAUUUAAUAGAAAAAUCCACUGUAUCACAAAAUAAUGCUUCGAUGGCCAUCUAUAAUGUCACCAGCACCACCAGCAGCGAAUUUUCAGCUCAGUCAAAUAUAACAUCAACAACUGUUGCCCCUGAAAAUGUUAAAAAGCUAUCAUCGUACAUUUCCAUUGCUUUAUUAAUGGGUGGAAUCAUCACUGCUCGAUUUGGUUUAUGGUCUGCAGAUUUGACAGUAACUCAGCUUUUUAUGGAAAAUGUAGAUGAAUCUGAACGUGGUGUUGUGAACGGUGUUCAAAAUUCUUUGAAUAUGCUUAUGGAUAUGUUAAAAUUUUUAUUGGUUAUUUUGAUAUCAGAAACGUCUGACUUCUACAUUUUAAUCAUUAUCUCUUAUAUGUUCAUUUGCUUUGGCGGUAUGAGCUUUGCAAGAUACUCUUACCGUGCUCGUGGGCAUUUAUUUCAUUUUGACAAAGUAUGUGCAUGCUCUAAACAGUAAUAGCAGCAAAAGUUAUUUAUUAUUAAUAUCACUAUCAUUAUUAUUAUUAUCAUUAUUAUUAAGGUGGCCGCUGAGGUCGACUUUGCCUUUCAUCCUUUUAGGGCUGAUAAAAUAAAUACCAGUUGAUCACUGGGAUUGAUGAAGUUGGCUUACUCCUUCCCACCAAACUGCCGGCUUUGUGCCAAAAUUUGAAACUAUUAUUAUUAUUAUUAUUAUUAUUGAGUGAGAGAGCAGUUCAUGCCAUCAAAGUGACACUGGGGUAAAAUAUACGAAGCCCAA